rnacentral:rRNA from 1 species
UACGAAGGGAGCGAGCGUUGUUCGGAAUCACUGGGCGUAAAGCGUGCGUAGGCGGUUUUAUAAGUCAGAAGUGAAAGCCUGGGGCUUAACCUCAGAAUUGCUUUUGAGACUGUAAAGCUAGAAUCCUGGAGAGGUUAGUGGAAUCCGAGUGUAGAGGUGAAAUUCGCAGAUAUUCGGAGGAACACCAGUGGCGAAGGCGACUAACUGGACAGGCAUUGACGCUGAGGCACGAAAGCGUGGGGAUCAA